UACGAAGGGGGCUAGCGUUGCUCGGAAUCACUGGGCGUAAAGGGUGCGUAGGCGGGUCUUUAAGUCAGGGGUGAAAUCCUGGAGCUCAACUCCAGAACUGCCUUUGAUACUGGGGAUCUCGAGUCCGGGGGAGGUGAGUGGAACUGCGAGUGUAGAGGUGAAAUUCGUAGAUAUUCGCAAGAACACCAGUGGCGAAGGCGGCUCACUGGCCCGGUACUGACGCUGAGGUGCGAAAGCGUGGGGAGCAAACAGG
rnacentral:rRNA from 1 species